rnacentral:rRNA from 1 species
GAUGAACGCUAGCUACAGGCUUAACACAUGCAAGUCGAGGGGCAGCAUAUUGAUAGCUUGCUAUCAGUGAUGGCGACCGGCGCACGGGUGAGUAACGCGUAUCCAACCUGCCUGUCACUCAGGAAUAGCCCGGUGAAAACCGGAUUAAGUCCUGAUGAUAUCAUUAGAGGGCAUCUGACGAUGAUUAAAGGUUACGGUGACAGAUGGGGAUGCGUCUGAUUAGCUUGUUGGCGGGGUAACGGCCCACCAAGGCAACGAUCAGUAGGGGUUCUGAGAGGAAGGUCCCCCANAUUGGAACUGAGACACGGUCCAAACUCCUACGGGAGCAGCAGUGAGGAAUAUUGGCAAUGGACGGAAGUCUGAACCAGCCAAGUAGCGUGCAGGAUGACGGCCCU